AUUACAUGUUUUCUAUUUAUUUGUUUUAGCUUUGGAACGAAAAAGGUUGUCUUCCGCAAAAAGAAAUUGACAAACUGAUCCUAGAAUUAACGCCACAGUUUAUCAGUAGGGUGUUUCCAACGGGUCAGAGGCAUGCGUGACAACAGGUGUGGUGAUGAAAACUAAGAAGAGAGCAAUGCAAAAAAAAGGUAAAAGUUGGAGUUCUACAACUGGAUUGGAGUUGAAGUUUUUGUUUUAUGUUUGAACUUUUGGUGGCAAAUUUGUUUCUUUAGGAGUUAAAGUUUUUUCAUUUUGUGUUUGAACAUUUGGUAGGAGAUCUGUUUCUGUAGGAGUUCCAAGUUUUUUUAUUUUGUGUUGAA